rnacentral:rRNA from 1 species
UACGAAGGGGGCUAGCGUUGUUCGGAAUUACUGGGCGUAAAGGGCGCGCAGGCGGCUCUUCAAGUCAGAUGUGAAAGCCCCGGGCUCAACCUGGGAACUGCAUUUGAGACUGGAGAGCUUGAGUUCGGGAGAGGAUGGUGGAAUUCCCAGUGUAGAGGUGAAAUGCGUAGAGAUCCGGAGGAACACCAGUGGCGAAGGCGACACGCUGGGCCGUACCUGACGCUAAAGCGCGACAGCAUGGGGAGCAAACGGG